UGGGGAAUAUUGGACAAUGGGCGAAAGCCUGAUCCAGCCAUGCCGCGUGUGUGAAGAAGGUCUUCGGAUUGUAAAGCACUUUAAGUUGGGAGGAAGGGCAUUAACCUAAUACGUUAGUGUUUUGACGUUACCGACAGAAUAAGCACCGGCUAACUCUGUGCCAGCAGCCGCGGUACUACAGAGGGUGCAAGCGUUAAUCGGGAUUACUGGGCGUAAAGCGCGCGUAGGUGGUUUGUUAAGUUGGAUGUGAAAUCCCCGGGCUCAACCUGGGAACUGCAUUCAAAACUGACUGACUAGAGUAUGGUAGAGGGUGGUGGAAUUUCCUGUGUAGCGGUGAAAUGCGUAGAUAUAGGAAGGAACACCAGUGGCGAAGGCGACCACCUGGACUAAUACUGACACUGAGGUGCGAAAGCGUGGGGAGCAAACA
rnacentral:rRNA from 1 species